AACUUUCAACAACGGAUCUCUUGGUUCUGGCAUCGAUGAAGAACGCAGCGAAAUGCGAUAAGUAAUGUGAAUUGCAGAAUUCCGUGAAUCAUCGAAUCUUUGAACGCACAUUGCGCCCCUCGGUAUUCCGGGGGGCAUGCCUGUUC
rnacentral:rRNA from 1 species